UUGGAGAAACUGAGGCAGGCAGAGACAUGCCCGGUAACACAGCUAGUAAGUGUCUGAGGCUGGAUUUGAACUCCGGUCUUCCUGACUCCAGGCCCACCGUUCUGUCCACACCAGCAGCUUCCCUAUGAGUCAGUGAAUGUGACAAAGAUGGGAAAUGGGCAGAGUUUAAGAAGAAACUUCAAGUGGCCUGGCCUGGAGGAUCCUGGGAGCCAUUUGCUGACACGAGCCACCUGCCCCCAGAACAUGCAGACGUGGUGAUCGUAGGGGGUGGUGUCAUCGGUUGGUCUGUGGCCUAUUGGCUGAAGCGGCUGGAGGCACGGAAAAAUGCCAUACGGGUACUGGUGGUGGAACGAGAUCCUACGUACUCUCGGGCCUCCACCGGACUUUCCAUAGGAGGCAUUUGGCAGCAGUUCUCGGUCCCUCAGAACAUCCAGUUAUCCCUCUUCUCCAUCGAAUUCCUCCGUAACAUCAAUGAAUACCUAGCUGUUCCUGAUGAGCCUCCCCUAGAUAUCCGGUUCAGUCCCUCAGGCUGCCUGCUGCUGGCUUCAGAAGAAAAUGCCUCACUGAUGGAACACAAUGUAAAAGUGCAGAGGCAAGAAGGAGCCAAAGUUUGUCUGCUCUCCCCUGAACAACUUAAAAACAAAUUUCCCUGGAUCAACACAGAGGGUAUAGCCUUGGCAUCUUAUGGGCUGGAGAAUGAAGGCUGGUUUGAUCCAUGGUGUCUGCUUCAGGGACUACGCCGAAAGGCUCUGUCUAUGGGGGUCUAUCAUAGCCAUGGGGAGGUCACAGAGUUAGUCUCUUCAAUAAGGCCCAUGGUGACUUCCAGAGGGGAACAUGUAGACAUUAAAAGAAUUUAUGAGGUCCAUGUGAAGAUGAACAACAGCCUGGAAUACCAACCUGUGGAAUGUGCUAUAGUGAUCAAUGCUGCUGGGGCCUGGUCUGGGCAGUUAGCAGAGCUGGCUGGAAUUGGCAUUGGGCCCCCAGGCACUUUGCAAGGCACCAGGCUUCCUGUGGAGCCAAGAAAAAGGUGAUAGGGUUCUGGGUUGGGGCCAGAGGAAGGGGGCCAAAGAUUGCAAGUUGGAGGAAGGGGUGCAUGACUUACCUGACUGUACUCUCCCUGAAAUGUGGCAGGUAUAUGUAUGUUUGGCAUUGCCCACAGGGGCCUGGCUUGGAGGCCCCAUUACUUACAGACAUCAGUGGAGCCUAUUUCAGACGAGAAGGACUAGGUGGCCACUAUGUAGGUGGCUGUAGCCCCACAGAGGUAAGCUGAAGGUUCCAAAUGAAACCUUUGGGUGGCAAGGGGAAGAGCUUAGAUAAUACACUUUUGUGGUUAUCAUUUAACCAAUUAUUUAGGGACUUUCCACCGUGUGCCCAGCACAGUUGGUACUACAGUCUCCUUGAGGUUUGAAAUAGAGGAAAGGGAAGCUGGCUGUCUCCAAAAAGGAAUGAAGAAAAGGAAUUGGUUUCCCCUGCCGAGCCUGAAGUGUGAUCUGUGGGGCAAAAGGGGUCUCAUCUUCUUUCCCCAAUACCCCAGAGCUCACACCCGGCUUUCACCUUAGGAAGAAGAGCCAGAUACUCAAGAUCCAGAAGCAGACCACAGCUUCUUUCAGGAAAAGGUGUGGCCCCAUCUGGCCCAGAGAGUGCCAUCUUUCAGUUCCCUGAAGCUACAGAGAGCCUGGGCUGGCUACGAUGAUUACAACACAUUUGACCAGAAUGGCAUAUUGGGAUCUCAUCCACUGGUCUCCAACAUGUACUUUGCCACGGGCUUCAGUGGCCAUGGGCUACAACAUGCCCCUGGUGUGGGACGAGCUGUGGCAGAAGUACUGCUGAAUGGAAAUUUCAACACUAUUGACCUGAACCUAUUCUCCUUCAACCGAUUCUACCUGGGAGAAAAGGUCCUGGAGGACAACAUCAUCUAAGGGCAAUAUCAUCUUGUCUGUCUACCCCCUUUGUCUAUGAGGAAGAAGCUACCAAGAGCAACAUUCUCAGAAAGUCAAGGACCAGCAUGCAAGUCUUCUAUAAUACCCAAGUCCCCUGCACUGCUGCCUCUGAGCCAUGCUACCCAAGCACUGGGAGGACACAGACGAUUGAGGCUGCUUCUCAGGAUCGCUUCCUGAUCAUAGCUGGAGCUUACUCACAACAGGAAAGCAGAUUGGUCAUAGUGCAUUAAGAGUGCUGAAGUGCCCAGUGCCAGCUCUUCACUUGGCACCUGUCCAAGGAGCCUCUCAACUACUUAGCUGUCAAGGUCUAAGCACUCUGGGACAGCCUGAACCCAAGCCUACUGACUUAUUACUUUACCCUGUUUAUCAGUCAAUAAACCUAAUUGACUCCUUCCCCACCAA